rnacentral:lncRNA from 1 species
GUUAUGCAAAGUCACAGAAAAAAGAAAUAAUAGCAGAAUUUACAUGUCAUCUUCAUAAUAAUGGAUACCCCCUUGGUAUUGGAAUCCAUUUAAGCAGAGGUGAUAUGGAUCUAGACUCCACUGAAUGGCCACACUGAUUUAAGUGUCUUGGUCUUAAGUGGAGGCUACUCAAAAUAAAGACCAAGUAUGAAAAUAUUCCAGAUGGAAAUACUACUAUGUUAGAGAACAACAAGAAGUGGAUGAACACCAGCUAAUGGACCAUGGUAGCACUGGACUGCAGUAUGCAUAUGGGAUAUGGAAGCCAUUGAAAAGGGAAAAAGGGAAGGGAUUGUCUCUAAAUUUAAGGAUCAUCUGGAUUUCUAAAAUAGAAAGACAAAGGUCAAGAACAUACAAAUAAACAAGGAAGAAAAGGAGGAGGAAGAAGAGGAAGUGGAGGAGGAAGGAAAAGAAAAAGGGAAAAAAUCACUACAGACAUAAAAAUGGCUUUAUGUUCUAUUAAUCAGAGAAAUUUGCAUCCAUCAAC